GAUGAACGCUAGCGGCAGGCUUAACACAUGCAAGUCGAGGGGUAUGCCGAUUUAUCGGCAGAGACCGGCGCACGGGUGCGUAACGCGUAUGCAAUCUACCUUUCACAGAGGGAUAGCCCAGAGAAAUUUGGAUUAAUACCUCAUAGUAUAGCAAUUUCGCAUGAAACCACUAUUAAAGUUCCAACGGUGAAAGAUGAGCAUGCGUCCCAUUAGCUAGAUGGUAAGGUAACGGCUUACCAUGGCUACGAUGGGUAGGGGUCCUGAGAGGGAGAUCCCCCACACUGGUACUGAGACACGGACCAGACUCCUACGGGAGGCAGCAGUGAGGAAUAUUGGUCAAUGGACGCAAGUCUGAACCAGCCAUGCCGCGUGCAGGAUGACGGUCCUAUGGAUUGUAAACUGCUUUUGUACGAGAAGAAACAACAUUACGUGUAAUGUCUUGACGGUAUCGUAAGAAUAAGGAUCGGCUAAACUCCGUGCCAG
rnacentral:rRNA from 1 species